rnacentral:rRNA from 1 species
UACAGAGGUCCCAAGCGUUGUUCGGAUUCAUUGGGCGUAAAGGGUGCGUAGGCGGCGCGGUAAGUCGGGUGUGAAAUCUUGGAGCUUAACUCCGAAACUGCAUUCGAUACUGCCGUGCUUGAGGACUGGAGAGGAGACUGGAAUUUACGGUGUAGCGGUGAAAUGCGUAGAUAUCGUAAGGAAGACCAGUGGCGAAGGCGGGUCUCUGGACAGUUCCUGACGCUGAGGCGCGAAGGCCAGGGGAGCAAACGGG